rnacentral:lncRNA from 1 species
CCAGUUUUUAGGUUAAUUUCUGGGUUUACUAUCAAUGCAUCAUUCAGUUUAUUUAAAUUUGGACCACAUAUCUAACAGUGGUUUAGGACUUGAGUUUUUCUUUUUGCCAGUAAUUUUCUCUCUUUUGAUUCAAAGCUGAAGACAUGAGAUACAUUGCUUUAUGGAUAAUAGCUACUUUUUCUAACCCAUGAGGAUAAAAUGAAAUCUGAAUUCCAACUGCUCCCCACCAUGUUGUUUUUAAAUGAGCAUUACAGUUUUAGCACUGGGCUUAUAGGAUUCUAUGCCUUCUCUAACACCUGAGGGUUGGCACUGAAUUACUUUUAGAUUAUUGUCCUUGUACUGAUGUUAUUUCUCCUUUCUAUGGAGAUCUCUUGUCUUAUUGUGAUUUAUUUAAUAUUUUCCAUUUUAUCCAGAAUUUUUAGGUACUUAAAAUACAAAGUUCAUCAGUUCAGUAUUCAUGAUGCAAAACGUUGGCCUCAGAGUUUUCUGUAGUAACAUUUAGUAAAAGAAAACAAAAGAAUAUUGUCAACAUAGCUCUAAAGUAAAUAAGGGGGUACCAGAGAUUGAACUAGGGACCUUACACUUGCGAGGCAGGUGGCAGAGCCACUGAGGUUCUUCGGAACAAGUGCACGGGAACAGCAAUCACUGGUUUCUUGAAUAUGAUAAAAAUUUGCCUGUUACCUUUGUAUACAAGUCAGUUUGGAUGGACAGCAAGUCCUUGGCUCACUUUUAUUUUUCCCUAAGUAUCUUAAAUAUUUUAACUUAAAUGUUAUUCCAUAUCUUUGUUUCUAGUGUGAAAUAUUGCAAGUGAAAAGUCUGAUAGAAGUCUAAUAUUCUUUAAGUGUUUUGUAUUUCUGCCAAAAUGCUACAAAGAUUGCUUAUUUUUUCUUUCAAG